rnacentral:rRNA from 1 species
GACGAACGCUGGCGGCGUGCUUAACACAUGCAAGUCGAACGGAAAGGCCCUGCUUUUGUGGGGUGCUCGAGUGGCGAACGGGUGAGUAACACGUGAGUAACCUGCCCUUGACUUUGGGAUAACUUCAGGAAACUGGGGCUAAUACCGGAUAGGAGCUCCUGCUGCAUGGUGGGGGUUGGAAAGUUUCGGCGGUUGGGGAUGGACUCGCGGCUUAUCAGCUUGUUGGUGGGGUAGUGGCUUACCAAGGCUUUGACGGGUAGCCGGCCUGAGAGGGUGACCGGCCAAAUUGGGACUGGGAUACGGCCCAGGCUCCGACGGGGGGCAGGAGUGGGGAAUAUUGCACAGGGGGCGGAAGCCUGAUGAAGCAACGCCGCGUGCGGGAUGGCGGCCUUGGGGUUGUAACCCGCUUUCGCCUGUGACGAAGCGUGAGGGGCGGUAAUGGGUAAAGAAGCACCGGCUAACUACGU